CACACACACACCCCUAACACACACACACACACACACACACACACACACACACACACACACACACACACACACACACACCCCUCACACACACCCCUCACACACACACCCCACACACACACACACACACACACACACACACACACACACACACACACACACACACACACACACACACACACACACACACACACACACACACACACACACACACACCCCUCACACACACACCCCUAACACACACACCCUUCGCAGACACGCCUGGUGCUCCUAACAGGUCUCUCCUGUAUCUCCUGAGUGUGUUUUUGUGUGUGUGACUCGUUUAUUGAUCUCGUUUAUUGAUUUUGUCUCACGAGGAUAUGUUAUCCUUCGUUAUCCUUCAUGGAGCAUACAGCACCCCCUCUGUGUGCAUGUAUAUAUUUAUGCAUUAUGAACUGUGUGAAAUGCAUAUAUAUACUUACUCUAUGAUCUUAUAUACUCAUGUAGUACUUGACCCUUGGUUUUUAUGAUACCUCGGAAGGUAGAGUUGAAAAAAGAACAGAACAUUACUUGCUGGGUAUGGGGUGGAUGCUAUGCUAAUAUUAGUAACGCCAUUGUUGCUGAACCAGAUAGAGAACCAGGAAACCAUGCUUGUAGCAGCAUCUGGGCCUCUGGUACCCCUUCUGUGUCUGGGGUCUUUAUCCAGAGGGUUGCCCCGUCCUGUCUAUCCUGUAAAAUAGUGUACAAAUCAACAAACGUGUGUGUUUGUCCGUCAGCCAGAGGUUGAGGCAGAGGAGUGUGUUUGUCCGUCAGCCAGAGGUUGAGGCAGAGGAGUGUGUUUGUCCGUCAGCCAGAGGUUGAGGCAGAGGAGUGUGUUUGUCCGUCAGCCAGAGGUUGAGGCAGAGGAGUGUGUUUGUCCGUCAGCCAGAGGUUGAGGCAGAGGAGUGUGUUUGUCCGUCAGCCAGAGGUUGAGGCAGAGGAGUGUGUUUGUCCGUCAGCCAGAGGUUGAGGCAGAGGAGUGUGUUUGUCCGUCAGCCAGAGGUUGAGGCAGAGGAGUGUGUUUGUCCAUCAGCCAGAGGUUGAGGCAGAGGAGUGUGUUUGUCCGUCAGCCAGAGGUUGAGGCAGAGGAGUGUGUUUGUCCGUCAGCCAGAGGUUGAGGCAGAGGAGUGUGUUUGUCCAUCAGCCAGAGGUUGAGGCAGAGGAGUGUGUUUGUCCGUCAGCCAGAGGUUGAGGCAGAGGAGUGUGUUUGUCCAUCAGCCAGAGGUUGAGGCAGAGGAGUGUGUUUGCAUGGCUGGGUAGAUGAUCAACUGUAGAAGUGUUACCUCAGGUUUACGGGAUGACAGCCCCCGACCCAUAGAGAUCCUAUGAAAUCACUAGAGGAGAUAUGUGAUGAACCCUCGUAGUUUCAGAAUGGGGUGAAAAUGGCAGCCAUAUUGGUCAGAGAGAAAUCCUAAACGAUUUCAAUUGGAAUGAAUGGCUGUAGCAGCAUAAUUGUGUAACAUAAUUUUUGUCAACCUAAAACAUUGUCAUAUAAAUACUGUUUAUACGGGUAUUAUAUAAAAUGUUCUGUAUAAAGAACCACUAAAAUACACUAUAUAUACAAAAGUAUGUGAACACCCCUUCACAUUAGUGGAUGCAACCUUUCCAACAAGUUAGUUCGUUAAAUUUCUGCCCUGCUAGUGCUUCCCCGGGUCAACAGUAAGUGCUGUUAUUGUAAAGUGGAAACGUCUAGGAGCAACAACGGUUUGGGGAAAGCCCUUUCCUGUUUCAGCAGGACAAUGCCCCCAUGCACAAAGCAAGGUCCAUACAGAAAUGGUUUGUCAAGAUCGGUGUGGAAGAACUUGACUGAACUGCACUGACCCCUGACCUCAACCCCAUCGAACACCUGGAAUGAAUUGGAAUGCCGAGCCAGGCCUAAUCGCCCAAAAUCAGUGCCCGACCUCACUAAUGCUGAAUGGGAGCAAGUCCCUGCAGCAAUGUUCCGACAUCUAGUGGAAAGCCUUCCCAGAAGAGUGGAGACUGUUAUGGCAGCAAAGGGGGGACCAACUCUAUAUCAAUGGCCAUGAUUUUGGAGUGAGAUGGUGGAUAAGCAGGUGUCCACAUAUUUUUUGGUCAUGUAGUUUAAUGUAAUCAGACAAUAAAAUCAAAAUAUUUGUUUUUCUUGGAAAUCUGUGAGUGCUUAAUAGCACUAAAAGUUGUAGAACAGUGGUGCACUCAGCUCACUUGGUAUGAUGAGAAUCCCUAUGAGUCCCCGUACACACAGCCAGGAGAGUAAAUCCCCUAAGCUUGACGUCUUCUAACCCCAUCUGUCUCUGGAACCUGUGACUUCCAACAAACCAAGAGUCUUCUAUAGCUCUUCACUGCACCUUACCCUAUAGACUCAUCUCUGCAUUUGACCUCUAGCUCUUCACUGCACCUUACCCUAUAGACUCAUCUCUGCUUUUGACCUCUAGCUCUUCACUGCACCUUACCCUAUAGACUCAUCUCUGCAUUUCACCUCUAGCUCUUCACUGCACCUUACCCUAUAGACUCAUCUCUGCAUUUCACCUCUAGCUCUUCACUGCACCUUACCCUAUAGACUCAUCUCUGCAUUUCACCUCUAGCUCUUCACUGCACCUUACCCUAUAGACUCAUCUCUGCAUUUCACCUCUAGCUCUUCACUGCACCUUACCCUAUAGACUCAUCUCUGCAUUUCACCUCUAGCUCUUCACUGCACCUUACCCUAUAGACUCAUCUCUGCAUUUCACCUUUCUCUCUGGAAGAGGGAAGUCCAAAGCCAUCAUGCCAUUAGCACUGCAUUUCAACAUGUCUAUAGUGUACAUGCAGACAGAGAAGGGAUGAAAGAACCCAGUCAGCCCAGAACAGAUGCUACUGCGUUUAGAGGAAACCGGAUGGCUCCUCUGGCCCCAUAAUGGUGGCACAUGCCAGCCACAGCACAGUACUGCCCCCGUGUCCAUGUCAAAGCUCUUCUCGAUCCUAGAACUUUACACCCCUCGUUAGCCCCGUCCCCCACCUGCUCUCCUGUCACCUACGCCCUCUGCUCUUUGACCUCUGUAGUAACCUCGCUUCUUCUCGACAAUGUUGAUGUUAGUGGGUAUUUUUCCUGUGUAUUCCAUUUUGAAUUGUAAUCUAGUUUGUAUAAGAAAUUGUGCGCAUGUAAAUAAAGCUUGGUGAAACUCCACACUCUC